rnacentral:rRNA from 1 species
UUGAACGCUGGCGGCAGGCCUAACACAUGCAAGUCGAACGGUAACAGGAAACAGCUUGCUGUUUCGCUGACGAGUGGCGGACGGGUGAGUAAUGUCUGGGAAACUGCCUGAUGGAGGGGGAUAACUACUGGAAACGGUAGCUAAUACCGCAUAACGUCGCAAGACCAAAGAGGGGGACCUUCGGGCCUCUUGCCAUCGGAUGUGCCCAGAUGGGAUUAGCUAGUAGGUGGGGUAACGGCUCACCUAGGCGACGAUCCCUAGCUGGUCUGAGAGGAUGACCAGCCACACUGGAACUGAGACACGGUCCAGACUCCUACGGGAGGCAGCAGUGGGGAAUAUUGCACAAUGGGCGCAAGCCUGAUGCAGCCAUGCCGCGUGUAUGAAGAAGGCCUUCGGGUUGUAAAGUACUUUCAGCGGGGAGGAAGGGAGUAAAGUUAAUACCUUUGCUCAUUGACGUUACCCGCAGAAGAAGCACCGGCUAACUCCGUGCCAGCAGCCGCGGUAAUACGGAGGGUGCAAGCGUUAAUCGGAAUUACUGGGCGUAAAGCGCACGCAGGCGGUUUGUUAAGUCAGAUGUGAAAUCCCCGGGCUCAACCUGGGAACUGCAUCUGAUACUGGCAAGCUUGAGUCUCGUAGAGGGGGGUAGAAUUCUAGGUGUAGCGGUGAAAUGCGUAGAGAUCUGGAGGAAUACCGGUGGCGAAGGCGGCCCCCUGGACGAAGACUGACGCUCAGGUGCGAAAGCGUGGGGAGCAAACAGGAUUAGAUACCCUGGUAGUCCACGCCGUAAACGAUGUCGACUUGGAGGUUGUGCCCUUGAGGCGUGGCUUCCGGAGCUAACGCGUUAAGUCGACCGCCUGGGGAGUACGGCCGCAAGGUUAAAACUCAAAUGAAUUGACGGGGGCCCGCACAAGCGGUGGAGCAUGUGGUUUAAUUCGAUGCAACGCGAAGAACCUUACCUGGUCUUGACAUCCACGGAAGUUUUCAGAGAUGGGAAUGUGCCUUCGGGAACCGUGAGACAGGUGCUGCAUGGCUGUCGUCAGCUCGUGUUGUGAAAUGUUGGGUUAAGUCCCGCAACGAGCGCAACCCUUAUCCUUUGUUGCCAGCGGUCCGGCCGGGAACUCAAAGGAGACUGCCAGUGAUAAACUGGAGGAAGGUGGGGAUGACGUCGAGUCAUCAUGGCCCUUACGACCAGGGCUACACACGUGCUACAAUGGCGCAUACAAAGAGAAGCGACCUCGCGAGAGCAAGCGGACCUCAUAAAGUGCGUCGUAGUCCGGAUUGGAGUCUGCAACUCGACUCCAUGAAGUCGGAAUCGCUAGUAAUCGUGGAUCAGAAUGCCACGGUGAAUACGUUCCCGGGCCUUGUACACACCGCCCGUCACACCAUGGGAGUGGGUUGCAAAAGAAGUAGGUAGCUUAACCUUCGGGAGGGCGCUUACCACUUUGUGAUUCAUGACUGGGGUG